AUUGAACGCUGGCGGCAGGCCUAACACAUGCAAGUCGAGCGCGCGGCGGGCGGGUGAGUACGGUAUGGGGAAUGUGCGUUAGCGGGGGAUAAGAACUGGAAAACGUGUCUAAUACCGCAUACUGUCGGAUAACCCAUAGGCGGUUAGUUAGUAGGUAAGGUAAUGGCUUACCUAGGCGACGAUCCCGAGCUGGUCUGAGAGGUUGAUCAGCCACACUGGGACUGAGACACGGCCCAGACUCCUACGGAGGCAGCAGUGGGGAAUAUUGCACAAUGGGCGCAAGCCUGAUGGAGCAAUGCCGCGUGUAUGAAGAAGGCCCUAGGGUUGUAAAGUACUUUCAGUCGGGAGGCGUUACCGACAGAAGAAGCACCGGCUAACUCCGUGCCAGCAGCCGCGGUAAUAC
rnacentral:rRNA from 1 species